rnacentral:lncRNA from 1 species
UCUUCUUUGAUCUGUGCAUCUAGGCAGACCAGGAACCAGUGUAGCGUCAUUUUUUCAACUACCUCUCCUCCGUCGAUAGACAUAUGUAAGCGCAUGUGACAUUCGUGUUUCCAAUUUGAAUUGUAUGAACUCCCAUCACUUCAAUUAAAAAUCAAGAACUCAUGAAAAGAACUAUAAUGAGUGAUGGAAGCUCACUCACUCUAAUUGACGGACGGGAACAAACUUCAAUCAGUGCAUAUGGUACACACCAAAAUUCUUGCUACGAGUCAAUCUUUCAUGCUACAGAAAUUGGCACAAAGAGAACAAUCUCUGCCCUGCCCCGAUUUAUCCAUUCGCAUAACACAGACACGCAAUUAUUCCUGCUACAUCACUCCUGAUUUGUAUCCCUCCGUUGCUUACUUGCCUUGCUAGAAAAUCAAUCGACUUCCAUUAUUGCAAUUCCGCAUUUAUGUCCGCUGACGAGGCUACAUGAACAUGAAAACGGUGCUCCAGUGAGAAAAUUUGAUGACUCGUGUAUAUGAUUUUGUCUCACAAUAAAGAACAUAUAUCCACACAAAAAAAGCAUAUUCAAGAUACA